UUGAACGCUGGCGGCAGGCCUAACACAUGCAAGUCGAGCGGUAGCACAGAGAGCUUGCUCUCGGGUGACGAGCGGCGGACGGGUGAGUAAUGUCUGGGAAACUGCCUGAUGGAGGGGGAUAACUACUGGAAACGGUAGCUAAUACCGCAUAACGUCGCAAGACCAAAGUGGGGGACCUUCGGGCCUCAUGCCAUCAGAUGUGCCCAGAUGGGAUUAGCUAGUAGGUGGGGUAACGGCUCACCUAGGCGACGAUCCCUAGCUGGUCUGAGAGGAUGACCAGCCACACUGGAACUGAGACACGGUCCAGACUCCUACGGGAGGCAGCAGUGGGGAAUAUUGCACAAUGGGCGCAAGCCUGAUGCAGCCAUGCCGCGUGUGUGAAGAAGGCCUUCGGGUUGUAAAGCACUUUCAGCGGGGAGGAAGGCGAUAAGGUUAAUAACCUUGUCGAUUGACGUUACCCGCAGAAGAAGCACCGGCUAACUCCGUGCCAGCAGCCGCGGUAAUACGGAGGGUGCAAGCGUUAAUCGGAAUUACUGGGCGUAAAGCGCACGCAGGCGGUCCGUCAAGUCGGAUGUGAAAUCCCCGGGCUCAACCUGGGAACUGCAUUCGAAACUGGCAGGCUAGAGUCUUGUAGAGGGGGGUAGAAUUCCAGGUGUAGCGGUGAAAUGCGUAGAGAUCUGGAGGAAUACCGGUGGCGAAGGCGGCCCCCUGGACAAAGACUGACGCUCAGGUGCGAAAGCGUGGGGAGCAAACAGGAUUAGAUACCCUGGUAGUCCACGCCGUAAACGAUGUCGAUUUGGAGGUUGUGCCCUUGAGGCGUGGCUUCCGGAGCUAACGCGUUAAAUCGACCGCCUGGGGAGUACGGCCGCAAGGUUAAAACUCAAAUGAAUUGACGGGGGCCCGCACAAGCGGUGGAGCAUGUGGUUUAAUUCGAUGCAACGCGAAGAACCUUACCUGGUCUUGACAUCCACAGAACUUUCCAGAGAUGGAUUGGUGCCUUCGGGAACUGUGAGACAGGUGCUGCAUGGCUGUCGUCAGCUCGUGUUGUGAAAUGUUGGGUUAAGUCCCGCAACGAGCGCAACCCUUAUCCUUUGUUGCCAGCGGUUAGGCCGGGAACUCAAAGGAGACUGCCAGUGAUAAACUGGAGGAAGGUGGGGAUGACGUCAAGUCAUCAUGGCCCUUACGACCAGGGCUACACACGUGCUACAAUGGCAUAUACAAAGAGAAGCGACCUCGCGAGAGCAAGCGGACCUCAUAAAGUAUGUCGUAGUCCGGAUUGGAGUCUGCAACUCGACUCCAUGAAGUCGGAAUCGCUAGUAAUCGUAGAUCAGAAUGCUACGGUGAAUACGUUCCCGGGCCUUGUACACACCGCCCGUCACACCAUGGGAGUGGGUUGCAAAAGAAGUAGGUAGCUUAACCUUCGGGAGGGCGCUUACCACUUUGUGAUUCAUGACUGGGGUG
rnacentral:rRNA from 1 species